rnacentral:lncRNA from 10 species
UGACGUGAUCUCAGGUCACCACAUUCUCUGCCUUCCAGGUUCAAGCAAUUCUCCUGCCUCAGCCUCCUUAGUAGCUGGAUUUACAGGCAUGCGCCACCAUGCCUGGCUAAUUUUUUGUAUUUUUAGUAGAGAUGGUGUUUCACCAUGUUGACCAGGCUGGUCUAGAACUCCUGACCUUGGGUGAUCCACCCGCCUCGGCCUCCCAAAGUGCUGGGAUUACAGGCAUGAGCCACUGCGCCCAGCCUGGGCCUGCUUCUUUCUCUUUUUCUUUUUUUUUCAUUAGCAGCUUAAAAUUGGUGCCUUAUUCAGACACAAGCAAAAGGACAUUAGCCCAGCUUUGGAAAUAGAGCCACCUAAGCUGAAGAUUCCCUUGAGAACAAGUACUGUCCCUGGUUUCCCAGUGCUGGAAUAUAGAAAAUGGAUGGACAAGUGGGGACCUCAACACACCUGAGCCCCAGACAUCACCUUUCAUUGCGAGUAGCUCUGAGAUGACACUUCUGCUGUUCCCAAUUCCAGCAUUAAUUGGAUUAGAUAGUUAUUUUAUGAAGAAUUUUCAUAUGCCACAAUCCUGACCAUAUCUUCAAGUGAACAGAAAAAUUCUAUUAAAAAGUCAACCUUCUGUCUCACUCUGUUGCCCAGACUGGAGUGCAGUGGUGCAAUUAUGGCUCACUGCAGCCUCAACCUCCUGGGCUCAAGCAAUCCUCCUGCCUCAGCCUCACAAGUAGCUGGGACUACAGGUGCUUGUCACCACACCUCACUAAUUUUCCCAUUUGUGUUAUAUGUGGAUUCCACAGGACUGACUUCGAAAACUUGAGUAUGCGUGGAUUUUGGUAUACACAGAAAUGGGAGAGCUGGAACUAAUCCCCCCAUAUACCAAGGGACAAAUUGUAUCUGUUUUUACAAUUAUACAGUAGGAGACAUUAUGUUCCAUGACAAUGGUAAUUUUUAACGACAGUUUUUAAUUGAGUGAAAUUACCAUAAAAAUAAUAAUAGUAGCAGCUAAUAUUUACUGAGCUGUUACUAGGUGCCUAUAAAUAGCAUAGAUUUUUAAAUUCUCCAUAAUUCUUCCUUAUUUCACUUAACCACUCUAUCUUAAAUUACUCAUGCUUGCCUCAGUAGCACACAUACUUAAGUUGGAACAAUAGAGAGAUUGGCACGGCCUCUGUGGAAGAAUGACAUGCAAAUUUGUGAAGCAUUCCAUAUUUUUUUAAAAAAAGAAAAAAAAAUUACUCCCAGAUUUUCACUGUGUUUGUGCAUAUGACCUUUUGUUUAGGUUGAAUUAUAUCCAAAGGUGAAAUUUCGAGAAGUGAGAUUACUGUGAGUCACAGGGCAUGAGCAUUCUUAUUACCCUCGAUGUAAAUUGCAAAGCUUUCAGGCAUGGUGGCUGUCAGCCUGUAAUUCCAGCACUUUGGGAGGCUGAGGUGGGAGGAUUGCUUGAGGCCAGGAGUUGGAGGAGGCAGUAUAAUGAGUCACUGUCUGUAUGAUUUAAAAAAAAUUUCCAAGCUUUAUGCUGGAAGGCUUAUAUACAUUUUAAACACCACUAAUACUACAAGAAAAUGGCCAUUUCACUGCACCUUCGCCCACACAGGUAUUAUAAUUUAACAAGUUAUUUUCUGUGUGAUAAAUGAAAGACCUCAUAUUAUUACUUUGUCACCCAUUCUUUUUUCUUUUUUGAGACACAGUCUCGCUCUGUUGACCAGGCUGGAGUGCAGUGGUGUGAUCUCGGCUCACUGCAACCUGUGCCUCCCAGGUUCAAGCGAUUCUCCUGCCUCAGCCUCCUGAGUAGCUGGGAUUACAGGCACAUGCCACCAUGCCUGGCUAAUUUUUGUAUUUUUAGUAGAAACGUGGUUUCACCAUGUUGAUCAGGCUGGUCUCGAACUCCUGAUCUCGUGAUCUACCCGCCUUGGCCUCCCAAAGUGCUUGAUUACAGCUGUGAGCCAUGUGCCCAGCCUAUUUGUCACAUAUUUUAUCUUUCCUUAUGUUAGCUUAUUAGCUUUAUUUCUUUAUUGUCCUUUUUUUUUUUUUUUUUUUUUGAGAUGAAGUCUCGCUCUGUCUCCUAGGCUUCAGUGUAGUGGCACAGUCUCAACUCACUGCAGCCUUGACCUCCUAGGCUCAGGUGAUCCUUCCACCUCAGUAGUUGGGACUAUAGGCACAUGCCACUAUGCCUGGCCAAUUAUUUUUAUUUUUUUAUUUUUACUAGAGAGGAGGUCUUGCUUUGUUUCUUAGGCUGGUCUGGAACUCCUGGCCUCAAGCAAUCCCCCCACCACCCCCUCCCAAAGUACUGGUAUUAUAAGCAUGAGCCACCAUGCCUGGGGUAUCUGUGUCUUUUCCAUUUAUUUAUAGAGUUACUUUGUCUUUUACUAAUUCAAUGAUCUGUUUAAUCUUUUAUUAAAUUAUAAAAAUAAUAAAUACUUUUAAAUAAGUGAAAAAUGUCCUUCACUCUUUAGACCCAUAAUCUUAUCUCAGGAAAUAAUUGCAGUUGAGAAAAUGGGCCAUAUCCUUCAAGAUACGUACAUGGUGAUUGAACAUCACUUCAUAUUUUCAUAUUUCGUGGACAUUUGUGCCAAUACCUAUUGAUCUAUCUUAAUCCUUUUCAUGGUUGCAUAAUAUUUUAUUAUAUGGAUGUGUCACAAUUUACCAGUACCAGUCAACUGCUGGAGGCAUUUAGGCUCCUUCUAAUAUUUGCUUUGAGCUCUUUAUAUAAUUAAAAAUUAACCCCCUCAGCCAGGUGUGGCAGCUCACACCUUUAAUCCCAGCAUUUUGGAAGGCUGAGGUGAGAGAACUGCCUGAGUGUAGGAGAUCACCACCAACCUGGUCAACAUAGUGACACUUUGUCUCUACUAAAAAUUAAAAAAAAAAAAAUGAGCUACACGUUGCAGUGCACACCUGUAGUCCGAGCUACUGGGGAGGCUAAGACUGGAGGAUCACUUGAGUCUAGAAGGUUGAGGCUGCAGUAAGCUAUGAUCACACCAUUGCACUUUAGCUUUGCUAAGAGCAAGACUGCACUUCUUAAACAAAAUAAAAAUUAGAUGGGAAUAUUGCUCAAGCCCUGGAGGUUGAGGCUGCAGUUAACUGUGAUUGCAGCACUGCAGUCCAGCCUAGGUGAUAGAGCAAGACCCUUUCUCUAAAAAUAAAAUAAAAUAAAAAUUAACCUUCUAUCAUAUUUCCCAGUAACACCUUCCCUCCUACAUUUCUCCUAGAAGCCCUUAAAUUUUGUUUUUCACAUAUCGUUUAAAACUUUUAAGCGCUGAUGUCUGUCUGUGUCAUCCCUCUUUUUUUUUUUUUUUUAAAUGUCUUUUUGUCACUUCUAGCUGGACCUACCAUGAAAGACUUCUGAAUCCAGGAAGAGAAACUGACUGGGCAACAUGUUAUUCAGACUUCUGACCAAAUGUGUGUGCAGAGUUUCUACACCAGUUCUCCAACUCUCUGGAUACCAACCGCGUAUCCCACAAUUCCAUUCUGACACUACCUAGAGUUAGCACAGAACCCACAGGUUAGGGGCUCAGUCCCACAAGACCACCCUCACUUCAGAUGCCAGUUGCAAGUCCUAGGUUGUCACCUGUAUUUUGACCAACCAGUUAGAAAUCAGGGUUUCCCAUGACCCUCUUGUUGAGUUUAAUUAUUUACUAGAACAACUCACAGAACUUAGAAAAACAAGUUUUUUUUCUUUUCUUUUUAAGAGACAGGGCCUCGCUCUGUUGUCCAAGCUGGUGUGCAGUGGUGCAAUCAUAGCUCAUUGAAGCCUCAACGUCCAGAGCUCAAGUGAUUCUCCUGCUUCAGCCUCUCAAGUAGCUGGAAUUACAGGGUUCCCACCACCACAUUUGGCUAAUUUCUUUUAUUUUUUGUAUAGAUGGGGUCUUCUUAUGUUGCCCAGGUUGGUCUCAAAUUCCUAGGCUCAAGUGAUUCCGCCCACCUCUGCCUCCCAAAGUGCUGGGAUUACGGGCAUGAGCCAGCGCAUCUGGCCACCUUAUUUUCUAUUACUGGCUCAAUGUAAUGGCUCCAUCUCAGGAACAGCCAAUGAAAGAGAUGCACAGGACAAGGUAAGUGGGGAGGGGCACAGAGCUUCCAUGCCCUCUGUUGGGCACACUACCCUCCCAGGACCUCCUUGUGUUUAGCAACACAGAAGCUCUCCAAACCCUGCUGUUUGGGUGUUUAUGGAGGCAUGAUUGAUAAAAUCACUGGCCAUUGGUAGUUAAGUCAAUCUCCAGUUCCUUUUGCCUCCUGGAGUUCAGCAGGUGAGGCUGAAAGUUCCAAGCCUCAAAAAAUGUGGUUGGGGCCAGGUGCGGUGGCUCACUCCUGUAAUCCUAGCAGUUUGGAAGGCUGAGGCACAUGGACCACUUGAGGUCAAGAGUUUGAGACCAGCCUGACCAACAUGGUGAAACCCCAUUUCUACUAAAAAUAACAACAGUUAGCUAGGCGUUGUGGCACAUCCCUAUAAUUCCAGCUACUCGGGAGGCCGAGGCAGGAGAAUUGCUUGAACCCGGGAGGUGGAGGUUGUAGUGAGCUGAGAUUGUGCCAUUGCACUCCAGCCUGGGCUACAAGAGCCAAACUCCGUUUUAAAAAAAAAAUGUGGUUGCUUUCUCUGGCAGCUAGCCCUCCUCCUGAAGCAGUCUCGGAGCUUGCAGCCACCCCGUUAGCUCAACAGCAUCCCACAUGCAUUCUUACCAUGCUGCAGAUCUGAAAGACCUUAGAGGCCCUUGUGUCAGGAACCUGGGACUAAGACUAAAUAUCAAAACAGAAAAUGCUCCUAUUACCUCUGUCACGAAGGGCUUUAUAAGAGCUUUGGAAGCUCUAUGCCAGGAACCAGGGGCAGAGACCAAAUGUAUAUUUCUUUUCUUAUAUCGGAGACAGAGUCUCACUCUGCCACUGAGGCUGGAGUGCAGUGAUGUGAUCAUAGCUCACUGCAGCCUUGACCUCCUAGGCUAAAGCAAUCCUCCCACCUUAGCCUCUCCAGUAGCUGGAACUACAGGCAUGCAUCACCAUGUCCAGCUGAUUUUAAUUUUGUAAAGGCAGGAUCUUCCUUUUUUCCCCAGGCUGAUCUCUAACUCUUGGCCUCAAGCAAUCCUUCCUCUUUGGCCUCCCAAAAUGUUGGGAUUACAGAUGGGAGCCCCCAUACCCACCAAUCACAAGGAUCUUUAUAAGAGAAUGAGGUAGGAGAGUCAGAAUUAGAGAAAGUGAUGUGGUAAUGGAAGAAGAGGUCAGAGAGGGAGAUUUGAAGAUGCUGCACUUCUGGCCUUGAAUAUGGAGUCACGAGGUAAGUCAAGGAAUGGGGGUGGCUUCUAGAAGCUGGAAAAGGCAAAGGAGCACAUUCUGUCUAGAGCCUCCCCCAGAAGGAAUGCAGCCUCUCUGACACCUUGACUUUAACCUUAAUAGACCUAGUUGGGCUUCUGGCCCCCAGAACUGUAAGAUGGUAGAUUUGUGGUGUUUGAUGCCACUAAAUGUAGGGUACUUUGUUGUAGCAACAACAAAAAAUGAACAUGAA